rnacentral:rRNA from 1 species
CUGAAACAUCUAAGUACCCCGAGGAAAAGAAAUCAACCGAGAUUCCCCCAGUAGCGGCGAGCGAACGGGGAGGAGCCCAGAGCCUGAAUCAGCAUGUGUGUUAGUGGAAGCGUCUGGAAAGGCGCGCGAUACAGGGUGACAGCCCCGUACACAAAAGCGCAUGUGCUGUGAGCUCGAUGAGUAGGGCGGGACACGUGGUAUCCUGUCUGAAUAUGGGGGGACCAUCCUCCAAGGCUAAAUACUCCUGACUGACCGAUAGUGAACCAGUACCGUGAGGGAAAGGCGAAAAGAACCCCGGCGAGGGGAGUGAAACAGAACCUGAAACCGUGUACGUACAAGCAGUGGGAGCACAGGUUUACCUG